AACUGGAUAGCUCAGUCGGUAGAGCACGAGAUGCUUAAUAUCAGGGUCUUGCGUUCGAGUCCCACUUCGGGCA